UACGGAGGGUGCAAGCGUUAUCCGGAUUCACUGGGUUUAAAGGGUGCGUAGGCGGGUUGGUAAGUCCGUGGUGAAAUCCCCAAGCUUAACUUGGGAACUGCCGUGGAUACUAUCAAUCUUGAAUAUCGUGGAGGUAAGCGGAAUAUGUCAUGUAGCGGUGAAAUGCUUAGAUAUGACAUAGAACACCAAUUGCGUAGGCAGCUUACUACACGAUCAUUGACGCUGAGGCACGAAAGCGUGGGGAGCAAGCAGG
rnacentral:rRNA from 1 species